GCCUAAGACAUGCAAGUCGAACGAAGAGCCCCAUUGAGAAUGGAAAUAAACUGAAGAGCUUGCUCGGAUGUGGAAAUAAAUAGGAUUUGGAUACUGCUCUUAGUGGCGAACGGGUGAGUAACACGUGGGUUACCUGCCUUCAAGCUGGGGAUAACAGCUAGAAAUGGUUGCUAAUACCGAAUGUGCUAGUAAUAGUAAAGAAGCCUUUAAAGCUUCACUUGAAGAUGGGCCUGCGGCGUAUUAGAUAGUUGGUGGGGUAAUGGCCUACCAAGUCAACGAUGCGUAGCCGGACUGAGAGGUUGAACGGCCACACUGGGACUGAGACACGGCCCAGACUCCUACGGGAGACAGCAGUUAGGAAUAUUCGGCAAUGGGCGAAAGCCUGACCGAGCAAUGCCGCGUGUGAAGAUGAAGGUCCUCUGGAUUGUAAAUCACUUUUAUUUGGGAAGAACGGUAAGUAUAGGAAAUGAUACUUGCGUGACGGUACCUUUUGAAUAAGCUCCGGCUAACUACGUGCCAGCCGCCGC
rnacentral:rRNA from 1 species